rnacentral:tRNA from 1 species
GCCGAGGUGGCGGAAUGGCAGACGCGCGGGUCUCAAAAACCCGUCUUUAGCAAUAAGGGUGAGGGUUCGACUCCCUCCCUCGGCA